rnacentral:misc_RNA from 1 species
GCAAACUUGGUCAUUUAGAGGAAGUAAAAGUCGUAACAAGGUUUCCGUAGGUGAACCUGCGGAAGGAUCAUUAAAGAUUCGAGGCUUCGGCCUUCACCUCUUCAGCUGUGCGCUUCGGCUGCACGCUGUCGAACUACACACACCUGUGCACCUUAUCGGUUUCGGCCUCACGGUCGUCGCCGCUUUACACGUUUAACAACAGUUUAGAAUGUAUAAAACCAUAAAAGUAACAACUUUCAACAACGGAUCUCUUGGCUCUCGCAUCGAUGAAGAACGCAGC